GUGGGGAAUAUUGGACAAUGGGCGAAAGCCUGAUCCAGCCAUGCCGCGUGUGAAGAAGGUCUUCGGAUUGUAAAGCACUUUAAGUUGGGAGGAAGGGCAGUAAGUUAAUACCUUGCUGUUUUGACGUUACCGACAGAAUAAGCACCGGCUAACUUCGUGCCAGCAGCCGCGGUAAUACGAAGGGUGCAAGCGUUAAUCGGAAUUACUGGGCGUAAAGCGCGCGUAGGUGGUUUUGUAAGUUGGAGGUGAAAUCCCCGGGCUCAACCUGGGAACUGCCUCCAAAACUGCAUGACUAGAGUACGGUAGAGGGUAGUGGAAUUUCCUGUGUAGCGGUGAAAUGCGUAGAUAUAGGAAGGAACACCAGUGGCGAAGGCGACUACCUGGACUGAUACUGACACUGAGGUGCGAAAGCGUGGGGAGCAAACAGGAUUAGAAACCCCAGUAGUCC
rnacentral:rRNA from 1 species